CCUUUUAAAAAUAAGAUCUAAAUAUGUUUUUUAUCCCACAAAUUUGAAUCACUUUUGUUUGUGGUCUCUAGAAUUUAAAUUUAUUUCUUUUAAUUUUUCAAUUUAAAAAAAAUAAUUUUUUUGUCAUGCAAGGGGAGGUACAGAACAAGGACGUACCUCAAUAUAGGAGGAUCGCAACCCUGCUCAUCAAGAUUAUAGGCAAACCCAAAUGGACAUUGAUAGGAAGGUCAUCAUAUGAUGGUUUUGGUAUAUUUAUUUGGUAAAUACUAAAUUUGGUUUUUGAUAUUGACUUUUACUCUUUGCUUGUAGACUUCGACCAUUGCGACCGCUCAAGCAAAUAGGUGUGCCAUUAGUACACAAUUUUGUAGUCAUUACCAUUGUUCAAUUUAGAUCCUUGAGGAUGUUAAGAAUGAUUGGUGGCACAAAUUUGGGAUAAGUUGGACUGUGUGUAUUUAUUCAUUAUUAUUUUACAAAUAGUUAUUUAACUUUUUAUUAAUAAAUGUUAAUUAUUAAUUUUGUUAAUUGGGAGGACCAAACUGAUGAUUUUUUUUCCCUUAAUCAUCCCAUCAACUUUAUAUCUUCAAAUAAUUAUUUAACUUUCAUAUAUACCAACUAACAAUAUCUCUCAAUCAUUGCCUAGAACAAAGUUUCAUGGAUACUCACGAGGAGAUUCUCUAUAACAUGUUUAAGUUAUUUGGAUAUGAUAUCUCGUGGAUAUUCUCACCAAGGUGAGAAAGGCUUAUUUGGAUUGAGGCGAAGGUUAGGUUAGUCUUGUUGCUUAUUGGGAUGGUGAUGCCAUUUUUAUGUCUUCAACUCAAAACAAGACCAAUUAAUUAGGCUUCGAUUAGAGGUAGAGUAGUCCAAACUACAAGUUGUAGGUCUUAACUCAAGGUGGAAUUAGACAUGUAUAUGUAUUCACUCACAGACGCAUGUUUUAUGUAGUUCAAUAUUUUUUUAAUGCA
rnacentral:lncRNA from 1 species